UUGUAGGUUUUCCACCGGGAGAACAAUUUCUAGAUGCUAAAUUGAAAUGUAUUGUCCAGUGUCUUGCGAUGUCAUUCUUUCAUUAUUCAAGCCCUUGAACACAGAACAAGGAAACAAGGAUAUUUCGGAGUCCCAGUUUCACUGCCUUCGUGGACGCUGGAGCCACUGCCACCUUUACUAUGCAUUGUGUGGCGAUGAACACAUGACCAGCAAGGGGCCCUGCCCCCCUCCCAAUACUAUGGAUUUGUUCAUAAUAAACACAUGAACAAUGCAGCAUUUGCCUUGUUUUCUGCUCCAACCGGCCCUCCCCAACAUCCUAAUCCCACUAAUCCCGCCUCCGCCACUGCAGGCAUGCCGGCCUUUUCUUAAUUGCUAUACUUUUGAGGACGCAUCACUAAAAAAACUAAAAGAGGUUUCAUGGCAAUGAUGAAGUGCUACCAAAUUAUGUUCCAAGAAAAAUGAUUUCUGCUUCAACUUGACUACAUGCAUGUUGAAUUGUUGACCCGAUUUGACGGACUAUAUAAGUGCUCUUCUCCUUGGGAAUUUGAAAGCACGCCCCUUCUAAGCAUCGCACAAUAUAUAUGCUUAUAUAUGUGGUAGCAGUCAUUGGUACAAGCAUAUGUGCAUUAGACCAGAAAAGAGGUUUCAAACUCGCAGAGCAUAUUGAAGAUGGUACAAAUCAUUGCAGAGUGAAUUACAAGUAGCUAUAUAUGGAUUGGAAUUUACUGAAGCUUUGCAUAUUCAAAAUUUUAAGUCAAAUGAGACGUGCAUUGCACGUGCAAGCUUACUAGUGGUAGUAAAGGAGCAGGCGAACAAGACGGUAAGAAAGGGAUCCCACCCGGUGCUGAGCCCUCUCUCCAACCGUGCGAGCGAACGCAUGGGAAGUCAAAAAGCAUGCACCAUGCGUGCAUCAUCUGCGGUGGUUAAGAGAUGGACUGACACAUGCUCACACGUUGCUGCCUUUUCGCACUAUGACUGGUGGGCCGAGUUGGCUGCUGGUCCCACGGGUAUGUGCCUUGCCUUUGUUCUCGCUCGUGUAUCAUCUGGGGUUGGAGAGAGCCGGGUCGUGGGUCGUGCGUCGUGUCGUGCGCCAUGCCGGGUCCUGCGGCUGGGUGUGGGUGUUUGCUUUUGAUGCAGCGCUGAACGUGCAGCGAAGACAGUGUUCCCUCCCGUCCCAAGCCGUGCACCCCCUCCUUCCCUCUCUCCUCCUUUCUCCUCCCUAGCCACCGAUCUGCCUUCUCGUCUCGCUGCUUCGUCUCCUCCACCGCCUUGUCUCCGGCCGCUGGCCUCCCGGCAGCCCUACCUCACAACAUGUUUCUCGAGGAGCAACGCGAGCAAGGCCAGCAUACGAAAGGAGUGGAUCGAGGCUUCGCACGCUGGCUCCGUCAUCUGCUUCGCCACGUUCUGGAUUCGCGCCGCCGUGUGUGAUGGUUCUAGAUCAGUGCAGGUCAUCGCCGCGGGAUAUCAGGAGCGGUGGGUUCUUCACAUCGAGGGUUGGCAAGCUGGGGAGGGUCAAGAGGCUGACAUGGCAUGUUUAGAGCAGCGAGGUCGGCUGUAGGGGAGCGGCUACCCCGGAGCUUCAGACUGCGCACGCGUCGCGAGUUUGGCUAUGGGGGAGCGGUUGCCCGGAGCUCGGUUGCGCACGCCUCAUGGGAUCUGGUCUCACCUGGCACUCGAUGCCGGCCUCGUCGGCUUCCCGAGGUGACACAACGACGGUCACACUCGACACCCUCUUUCAUGAUUCGACGACAGCCGGCUCAUACGGCGGCCUCAGCGGGUAGCUGACGACGACUGCAGCUGGUGCACGAGCUCUCAGUCGACAUAUCCACACUCGACUCCUCGUCUCGGGUGCGGAGUGCGGACUGAGAGUUGGAUGCUCUGUGCUAGCAUAUAGAAGUGUUGCAACCACCACUGUUCCGGCUGUGAGAUUCUUAAUUCGGUGGUUCUUGAUUGCAACCUGGGGUCAUCCUGUUCCUACUCACAUGUUACAGUAGUGUUUUGUAUAAUAUACCCAACCUCUCGCUCCUGAAAAUUACCCGUCUUCUCUGAUGCACGCGGGUCACUGGAGGAGAGGGGGUCUGGCUUGUGAGUUUCGCCGAUGCGGUCACAACGGCGAUGCCAAACUCUGAGGAGAUACUAAAGGUGUACUGGGAGGCGGUGCUUCCUGGAAUCCCAAUGCCUCCACCUAUUAUCAACCUGCUGUUAGCCCAGCAAAAUGGUAUCUCUCUCCUUCCCUCCCUCCCUCCCUUCCCACCUUGGUGACCUCAUUUAAGUGGUUUUGAUAAUUGGUGGUACAACUUUCCCUCUUUGAUGCCUACAAAUUCUUUAUAACGACUCUUAGUUUGCAAUCCAUUAUGGAACAUAAAUGAACAUACUAGAUGUGAAUCUUUUGUUAUGAUGAAUGAUAAAUGUUUGACUUAAAGCAUAGACUAUUGCAUAUACAAUAUGAUAUGUGUACCAUAAAGGAUAAAUUAACCUUUUCUCUACCGGUGAACUGAGAGCUUACAGUGGCUAAUUUGAUAAGAAGCAUAGUACUUGUAUCGUUCAGAAAAUGACCCUUCUGUACUUCAUUUUCAGGGAUAGUCCUAUUGUGCUUUGUUUUUAUAUGAUCUAAAACUACAGAGUUCUUGUGCAGUUCAGAUGUUCUGUUUUGUACGAAUUUUACUAUAUCUGAACUUCUGAAAUUAGUAUAAGUCUAACAGCCUUGCAACCAAACCAAAACUAAAACUGCAGGGAUCUUGUGACAGCCUUGCAACCAAAACUAGAACUACAGGGAUCUUGUGUAGUUGAAAGCUAGCUGUCGUUUGUUGGAAUAUCAAUUAUCUUGUUUGUGCACGAUUAACCUGCUUAUCAUGAAAAGGUAGAAUAUUUUAGGACAGACCAUCAAGUUGGUUGGGAUUUGUUUAGAUCUUUAUGAGAAGCAGCUCUUCUCAGUGGGACUUUUCUUUUUUAUCCAGCCUAAACAUAUUCAGCCUUUCACCUAAAAUGUUAUUACUUUCUCAUGUCCUACUUUUUGUUACACGAUGUUCAAGAAAGAAUUAUGGAUCAUUUUGUCAUGAAGCAUGAUCAGUGCCACCUCUUUCUUCUGUGUAGUGCUAGGCUAGAUUGGUAUUCUCUUUACUGCCCCAGUUGGAUUAUAUCUCAAACUUCUCUUGUUCCUAUGCUGAGAUUCUCCUAGCCAGUGGCAAGGGUACAUACUGCCUCAUCUUCUUUUUUCCUUUACAUUUUUCUUCGAUUGGAAGGAGUGGAUUACUGCCACCAAGUUCUUGGAUAAAAUGAAGAAAGAUAUGUAUGACGUCAUGUCAGUUAUUUUGUUUUACAACAAAAUGGAUAGUUCAUGUAUUCCCUACCGAGCAAGAUUUAUGUUGAGGUGUGGCAUCUAUUUUGCAUUUCUUGAUUAUGGAUUUUUGAUAAUGCGAAGUUUUUAUUCGGAAUGGACGAUGAGUGCUUACUUCUAUUGUUCCCCAAAACACCAUUAAUGAUUUAUCCAGUCCUACACAUUGCAUGCUUGCCACAAGCUUAGAAAAUCUCCAUCUUACUUCGCUAAAUGUUCUUUCUUACCGAACUAGCUUCAGGACGAAUGGCAGGUUUAUUAACCAUUUGAUCAUUUUUGUGCAUUGCAUGUUUGCUGCUAAGUCUCAUGAAGUAGUGUUUUUUUUUGCAUGACCAUCCUGUGGAGCCAUGAUAUUUGAACCAAUGAAUUCAGAGGACAUUUAGUAUGUUUAUGGACCACAUCAUGUUCUGUUGGUACAAGUGAGAUCCUUUUUCCAGUGAUCACUUUAAAGCCCUUGCAGUAUUCAAGAAGGUCUACCAAGGAUAAUCGACAUGUUGUCGUCCUCGGGCAUCUCAAGUAUAACAAAGUCAGUCAAAAUAGUAAUAUUAGCAACAACAACAUGCACAUCCUCACAAAUACUGAUAGGUUGGGGGUUAUCAAGAUCAAUAGGUGGUUCUAUCUCAACAUCAUUGUCUGGUUCUUUAUUAUUAUUAGGUUGAGAGUCUUCAUAAACAUCAGCAUUAUCUUUUUUAUUAUCACAAGGUGAAUGUUCAUUACCGGACUGAGUUUCAGUAUCAGAGAUAGAAGUUUUAUUAUCAUUAUCAGGAGGUUUCUCUAUUUCAGGUUCACUAGAAGCAUGCAUAGUUUUAUCAUUUUUCUUCCUCCUGUUUCUUUUUAGAACUAGGUGCACUAGUGUUAGCUCUUUGUGAAUCAUGUACAAUUCUUUUUGGGUGUCCCUCGGGAUAAAGUGGUUCCUAAGUCAUUUUACCUCCUCUAGUUGCAACUCUAACAACAAAUUCAUGUAUAUUAUUAUUAUCCAUUUCAUCAAGCAAUUCUUUUUGAAAUUUAGCAACUUGUUCUAACUAGGUGUGUAUCAUAGAAACAUGCUUUCUAACACCAACAUCAUUUGAGAUUCUAAAUAACAAGUCACUCAAGUGAGCAGUCAUAUCAGAAUUGUAUUUCAACUAUUUCAUAACAUUUGCAUUGAAGUGAUCUUGUUUUCUAAUAUAGUU